AAUAUACUUGAACUCGCAACUCUAGAUUCAAGACUUAAUUAAUCACACCUUUUGUUCCUGUAUAAGGUGGUCCAUGACAUUAUACAUUCCUUAAAGCUUCUUGAUCAUAUGCAUUUGUUUGUGCCGCAACAGUAUACCAGGUAGCAUUCCACAUUCGUUGCCUGGGCUUGUUACAAGAUUGUGCUAAUAAGACUCGACUCCAAAACAUACUUCAGAGUUCAUUUCCUGUGUAUUGUGUAUCUGUAGAUAAUCACGUAGGAUUAACUUCCUUUUACUUUUCCGCAUUUCUGUUUUUCCCUAUUUGUUUCUCUAUCUUCCAUUUUUUUUGUCUACUACAUUCAUGUUUUCUCUACAUUUUGUCUCACAUAGUGCUCGUUAAGUGCACCAGUACAAAGGCUCUCUAGCUGUUCCUGGGCACUACAAUAAAAAUUUGAAUGAUUGAUUA
rnacentral:lncRNA from 1 species